rnacentral:sRNA from 2 species
UACUACCAUUAGCCUAAGUUUUUUAUUAAACACGGGGAAACCGGAAUUUUUUGGGGUGAAUCGUAUUUUACGUAGGUUAUGCCUUUACCGAACCCGACAGCUAACCCCGUAGGUAACAAGGAGAGGAUUU